ACUUAUCCAGUGCCGGCUCUCCCCAUCCGUACUGCUCUUGCUUUUAACUGGAAUAUACUUUGGUUGACCUUUACCCUCAAGCAAUGAAUCUGGGAGAAAUGUAAGAUGUGGCUUUAACUCCUAGUUAGGCUCUACAAGGGGAGUGAGUGAAGUGAAAGCGAAACAGCGGAUCAGCUGACAGCUCAGACUCGGAGCGGAAGCAGUCGGGGGCUACGGUACUAGGGGUUUCUCCUGUCGUGCAGAAUGUCCAGAGUGAUCCUGCUCUUGUGUCUUUCCGGCGCCCAGCUUCUUCAGCCCGGGUGCAGCAGCGCCCAGCAGCCGGAACUCGAAAGCCGAAACGCAACCGCCGCAUACGAGAAGCUUUUUCAGCAGUUUGUUACCAAGUACGGCCGGAGCUAUGCGCUGGGGAGCCCCCAGUUCCUUCAAACAUACCGAGUGUUCCAGGAGAGCAUUCAGAGACAUUACAGCAUGAACCUUAUUUCUUCAAAUUUGUCGAGUGGAAGCAAUUCUGCUAUCUAUGGAAUUAACCAGUUUUCUGAUAUAUCACCUGAAGUGUUCAGAGCAAAAUAUUUGGGUUCGAAACCAAUGCCACUUCCAAACUUCAUGUCAUUACUAAAGGACAGCAAGAAACCAGCAUUACCAGCAAAAUUCGAUUGGCGGGACAAGAACGUUGUUAACCCUGUGCGGAAUCAAGAAUCAUGUGGAGGAUGCUGGGCUUUCAGUGUGGUGGAGAGUAUUGAAUCUGCUCUCGCAAUUAAAAGUGGACAACUAAAGACCCUGAGUGCACAAGAAGUCAUAGAUUGUUCUCACAAAGAUGCUGGCUGUAAUGGUGGAUCGCCAGUCAGUGCCCUGAAGUGGCUAAACCAGAGUAAAGCACGGCUGAUGGAAGAGUCUGUUUAUCCCUUCACUGCAAAGACUGGGAAAUGCCAUUACUUUCCAAAGUCCACAUUUGGUGUUUCAAUCAGGAACUAUAGGGCAUACAGCUUCAGAUACAAUGAGGAGGAACUGAUGCAGAAGCUAUUGGAAUGGGGACCUUUGGUGGCCAUUGUAGAUGCAGUCAGUUGGCAGGAUUAUCUAGGUGGCAUUAUACAGCACCACUGCUCACAUGAAGAACCAAAUCAUGCAGUAGUUAUCACUGGUUAUGACAAAACAGGUGAUAUUCCUUACUGGAUAAUAAGAAAUUCAUGGGGAACCAGCUGGGGAAUUAAUGGCUAUGUAUAUGUCAAAAUGGGAAGAAAUGUUUGUGACAAUUCUACUCUGGGUACUGCAGGGCUACUCCAUCAGUGAGCUGCUCGUUGAUCACAGUAGCUGGAUUGGUGUUGGCCAGGGUGUCGGAGAAGGGGCCGGCCAGGAUAUUGAAGGAGUCAGCUUGGGUUCAGAGGAGCUGAUCUGGCUACAGACUAUGUUGCUGCCUCCUACUCAAAGGCAUCAGAGUUAGUGCAUGAAGGCGUCAUGCAGUAUAAACAUGGGGAUUGUCUUGGAAAUUUCUCUUGUGAUCACAAGAUUCUGUUGGACAGUGAUAAUGUAUUGCUGAUUCAAUUGCAGUAGGAAUUGUGUGAGAAGAAACUCCUUUGACAUCUCUCUGUGGGACAGCCCCUUACCACAAGCUAAUAUGAAUCUGAAAGACUUUGAUUACGCUAGGUAUGCUGAGAAUAGUGAAGCAUUCGGCUUAUCAGAGUAUAGAACUACAAAGGAACCAACCUGACUUUCUUAAAUUGGCAAUGCCUGCUGAGGUCCAUUACCUUUUGAUGCCUUUGGAUCCAGAAGAGAUUCACCUGAAGCUUUUUCAACUCUGUGUUAGUGGCACAGUUUUUCUGCAGCUCCAGAAAAUCAUCAGCUCAUGGUGCUAAUUUUUCUUGUACAUUGCCAUUGAGCAAGCUACCUCCCAAUGGAAUAGCCACAGAAAAUUAAUGUCAAAGUGUCUCGAUAUCAAAUUAGUCAGGCAUUAACAUUUCUGCUUUAUGCAGAAUUUUUGGCUUCACUAACAAGAUUGGCAUUUAGAGUCAUAGAAGAGUACAGCACAGAAAUAGGCCAUUUGGCCCAUCUGGUCCAUAAUGAAUCAUUUAAACUGCCUAUUCCCAUCGAUCUGCACCAGGACCACAGCCCAGCCCUCCAUAUUCCUACUAUCCAUGUACCUAUCCAAACUGAAAUGUUGAAAUUGAGCUCACAUGCACCAAUUGCGCUGGCAGCUCAUUCCACACUCUCACAACUCUGAGCGAAGAAGUUUCCCUUCAUGUUCCCCUUAAAUUUUUCACGUUUCACCCUUAACCCAUGGCCUGUAGUUGUGAUCCCACCCAAGCCAGCUUGUAUUUACCCUAUCUAUACCCCUCAUAAUUUUGUAUACCUCUAUCAAAUCUCCUCUCAAACUUCUACAUUCCAAGGAAUAAAGUCCUAACCUAUUCAAUAUUUCCUUAUAACUCUGCUCCUUCAGACCCAGCAACAUCCUUGUAAAUUUUCUGUGUACUCUUUCAAACUUAUUUACAUCUUUCCUUGUAGGUACGUGACCAAAACUGCACAAAUACUCCAAAUUAAGCCUCAACAAUGUUUUAUACAACUUCAACAUAACCUCCCAUCUCCUGUACUCAUACUUUAAUUUAUGAAUGCCAAUGAUUUAUUGAAUGCUCCCUCCUGGGGAAGUUGGUGGUGAACCACCACGAUUAGAUUGAGGUUUUCAGUAUUCUUCAACUUCUACAUCAGAACACUGUUGAGUUGCUAUUAUUUAUAAUUUUAAUGCUAAAAGUUUCUCACUGAAAAUGAUGAACAGCUAUUCACAGAAUUCAGUUGAGUCUUGUGAUUUCUUUAUGCAAUAAAUGCUAUUGUAGAAGUUUUCAAAACUGCCUUAGUAU